rnacentral:rRNA from 1 species
AUGAGGGCAUCUCUCAUAAUUUGGGACGAGGCCUCCAUGACAAAGAGGCAGGCGGUCGAGGCCCUUCACAAUAGCAUGAGGGACAUCAUGGAUCGACCUGACCUGCCAUUUGGUGGAAAGACAGUUGUGUUUGGGGGAGACUUCGGACAAGUGCUUCCUGUUGCUCAUAAGGGAACAAGGUCACAAAUAACUGAUGUGACGCUAUGCAAGUCUUACCUUUGGGAGAAUAUGAGACAACUAAGACUUGCCCGUAAUAUGAGGGAUCAGAGUGAUCCGUGGUUUGCUGCUUCCCUUCUCCAUUCGGGAAUGGCACUAAAGAUACCGUGGAUGAUGAUUACAUACGGCUUCCAGAUGAGAUUUGUGUACCAUACACCGGCGACGCCACUGAUAUUGAUAAGCUUAUUGAAAGUGUUUUCCAGAUGA